rnacentral:rRNA from 1 species
GAUGAACGCUGGCGGUAUGCUUAACACAUGCCAGUCGAACGGACUCUUCGGAGUUAGUGGCGGACGGGUGAGUAACGCGUGAGAAUCUGGCUUUGGGUUCGGGACAACCACUGGAAACGGUGGCUAAUACCGGAUGUGCCGAGAGGUAAAAGAGAAAUUGCCUGAAGAUGAGCUCGCGUCUGAUUAGCUAGUUGGUGAGGUAAGGGCUCACCAAGGCAGCGAUCAGUAGCUGGUCUGAGAGGAUGACCAGCCACACUGGGACUGAGACACGGCCCAGACUCCUACGGGAGGCAGCAGUGGGGAAUUUUCCGCAAUGGGCGAAAGCCUGACGGAGCAAUACCGCGUGAGGGAAGAAGGCUCUUGGGUUGUAAACCUCUUUUCUUAGGGAAGAACAAAAUGACGGUACCUAAGGAAUCAGCAUCGGCUAACUCCGUG